GGGGGGGUGGGGAUGGUUGUUUAACUGUGUUGUCCUUAGUUACAUCCAGUUAAUCUUUGCGGUAUCUUGCUGGUUGAUGAAAUUGUUCAUCUGAAAGUAUGCCUCUGCAUUUUAUCUUACAAAAAAAUGUUGCCCCUUUAUAGAAUCAAGAUUUGAAAUAUUUUGUUUGAUGCUUCUGCGGCGAACACAAGUGACAGAUCUGGUCAACUAUAGUACUUGAUCAAGUUCAAUAGCAUGUGUUUUCUUUCUGUGGGAGAUCUCUGUGGUAUUUCUACUUAACUCGCAUCAUUUGGUGUGGUUAAGAUCGUAGUUGAUUUUUUUAAUUUAAAUUUUUUGGUGAGACAACAGUCAGAAAGUUUUUAAGGUUUAGUUGCAUUCUAAUUUUGAUUUUUACUAAGGCAUUGGCAAGUAAAAAAAUAUUGGCGUUCCAUCGCGAAUUGAAGUUUGAUAGGAAAAGAAUCUGCUUCUUGAACUUAAGAUGGUUGAAUUGCUUUCCUAGUUUGUUAGCAUUUCUGGUGGUGUUAUAUGUGCUAUUUCUCUGUUCCAUUGUGAAUUGAGGGCAUUACCUUGAGUGGAUUUGGUUUUUAAUUGAACCAGUCGGUUUCCACUGUAUUUCCAAUUGAGCAUUAGUGAGCUAAUUGGUUUGAAUUUUUCUGAAAGUACAAUAGCCUCUAUUUGUGGUGUUAGAUGUUAUGAUUCUAUAGAUUGUUUUAGGAUUGGUUACUAUUGGGCACUAAGACAUAGGACAUUGUGUUUUGUCAUUUUUAGUUGAUUGUCAUAGGGACUAUUACUAAUGGAAACAGAGACCAUGGAUAUUGCAAUUGAAUCAUGGGUUUUAGGAGACUGUCUUAGGUGUACUCUGACAGUUUGAUGCAAAAAUGAGUUUGGAUAUAUGUCUAUAUAUUUCCCCUUCGAAAAUUAUGUUGCUUUCUUUUUUUGCUUCAUUUACUAAUACUAGGUUUUGUGGCCUUUUAAAAUUAUAUGAAAGAUCUUUCUUAAUUUAAAUUUCAUUAAUAGAUUACCAAUAUCUAGAGUGUGAUUAGGGUUGUUUUGGAAUGGUAAUUUCUAACUUCUCAAGUCUGUCUUAUAUUUUUCUUGUGCUGAAUUUAACCAAAAAAACUUUGUACUUCAAUUUCACAAUGAAUGAUGCAGUAUCUAAAAAAUAACAAAGUGUUUUUAUUACUUGCUGUUGGUGGAUUCAACAUGUGUUUUUUUUUGUUUUUUGUUUGUCAAUUUCACAACAAAUGAUCCAUCAUUUCAAAAUUUGACCUAUAAUGACUGAUAUUUAUGAACUUUUCAUUUCUCCAUAUAUUGAGGCUUCUAGAAAUAUUUUCCCUCAACUUUCCUCCUUUUCAUCUUGUCUGCUUACCAUCCCCGAAUGCUUGAUGCAAGGGUGGUUGUGUGGAAAAAUCAUGUAGAAUUUAGCUUCAUUUGAUAGAAUGGGAAAAGUUGAGGUAUCUCUUGUGGUAUUUUCUGAAGAUUAUGAUAUGCCUUGUAUAAGGCUAUAAGCUCAUUGAAAAUAUUUUAAAAACAUGCAUUUGGUUACUUCUUAAAGUUGGUGUUUCAUAAUUUUUAUCUAUGUUUAAGUGGAUGCUUGACAGCAAUGGGCUCCACAGCUGAGCAAAAUGGUGGAGCCUCCUUGCAUGGUACUGUAGAAUUAAGAGUGGCUUCUUGGCUACAUAUUCCAGCAAAAACAUGUAUUUUGGGUGACCUAGCUCAGAGUUAUGCCAGUGUUAGUCUCCACAUCAAAAAGCUGGAUCAGUGGGCUAUUGUAAAAUAAUGAAAGUUGAACUAGCACCAGAUAUUACUGCUACCUUGGUAUAAGUUUUUGAAUUGAUAUAUAAUCUGAAGAAUUUGGUCGAUUUAGAGUUUAAUUAAAUCAUCUGAAGAAUAUAAUCAGCAUUGCAGAUGACCAAUCAUUUCAGCCAUGUACUAGGAAGUUCUCACUCUAUCCUUCCCCCCCAUUGCUAUCAACUUAACUAUUUGGUUCCAAAUCUGAAAUUUGAGUAAUGUUGUUUGUAGGUUUUUGAAAUUCGUGUGGGUGAAAAAGUAUUUGGAAAUAUGUAUAAUGUUGUUUAAAAACUGAAAAUGUGUUGUUUAGAUAGUCUACCAAAUGUGAGUCUCUAGAAAAGUCUUAGCUUGGGCCGCAUGACACAAGUCUCUAGAAAAGUCUUAGCUUGAGAAAUGGAUACUAUCACAAUAGUCCAAUCGCGGAAGUUAUAUGCAUCCUAUCUAAAGAUAUUUCAGUACAUGUAUGGCGUGGGACUGCGUUUUUGUUUUUUUAGAGAGAAUUAUAACAUAUGGCAUUUGCAUUUUAUUUAUUUAUUUAUGCGUAUUUUUCAUUCUUUCUUGUUAACGUGAUGUGACAUUCAAAUAAUAUGAAACUCUAAUUUUACUUAUUUGACUUGAACUUGAGUUUUCGGUUUGGGCCAACUAAUCUUGUAUACUUAAUUGAUGCGUGCCAUCACAUGGGUUUUUUUUUAAGGUUGAUACGAUCUGUUUUAAUGGGGCACGAUUGAGCAGGUUGAGUAAUUGAGUUGCCAAGAAAUAAAAUCUGAACAUAAAUACACAACUGUGGCUUCUUCCGUGUAUUAUCUAAAUCUAUUAUCUAUCAAUGGCCUUGUGAUCUAAUGAUAAUUCCAAUCCCACUUGUAAGCCCAAAAAAAAAAAAGUACUUUCUUGAAAUGGUCUUGAGGUUUGAUAUAUGACUGCAAAAUUAUACAGGGAUCAACUGUUUGGCGAAAGAAGAAGAUGAAGAAAAAGCUAAACAGUCACUUCGAUUGAUUAUCUAUUAUUGUAUCAAUCUUGAAAACAAUUGUAAAAUGGAAAUGAAUGGCCCUGGGUGUGUGGUGUCCUCUAGCUAUGCUUUUUGUAUCCUUCAUCUCUGUAUUGCCUGUGAACACGAUACAUGUAAUGUAUUCCACGCUAGUUUUUGAAUCCCCAAUUAUCAUAUAUAGCUUAAAAUAAUAAUUUUAAUUA